CACAUCCGCAACUCCCCCACACCCCCUCCCUUCCCACCAAACCCAGCGCCAUGCCAAUGCCGCUGCCCGCCGUGGGCACGGGCCCCGCGUCGGCGAUAGCUCCGGUCACCGCCGCGGCGCCCCUUAGAUAUCGUCCCAUACGACUCCGCGCAUCUCCGUCGACGGUUUCCUCCCCUUCAACCUCUGCGAUCUCCAGCCCGCCGCCCCCGCCGUCUGCGAGGCAUUCCCGCAAACACCUGGCGGGCAGAGGCCACGCCCCGGCGAGGCCCUCCAAGGACCGUGUCUUCUUCCUCGACGUCAACCCGAUAUGCUUCCGCGGCUCCCAGCGUAGCCUCGGCGCCUUCGCGCGCUGGCUCGCGCUCUUCUUCACGCACGUCAGCCUCCGGGACCCCGUUGUGGCCGUCUUCGACGGGGCAGGUGGGAACGAGUACCGGAGGCGGCUGCUGCCGUCCUACAAAGCGCACCGGACUCGCGGCGUAGGCACCGGUGCCGAUUCCCGCGUGGUUGACGUGCUCUGCGAGUGCAAUGUUCCGAUUGUGCAAGUCGAUGGAUACGAGGCAGAUGAUGUAGUGGCUACCUUGACAAAGCAAGUAUUACAGAAAGGUUAUAGAGUUGUCAUUGCCUCGCCUGACAAGGACUUCAAGCAGUUGAUAUCUGAAGAUGUUCAGUUAGUUAUGCCCAUUCCUGAGAUUGGCCGAUGGUCCUUUUAUACGCUGAGGCAUUAUGUUGCACAAUACAAGUGUGAUCCAACUGUAGAUUUGAGCCUCAGAUGCUUUAUGGGUGAUGAAGCAGAUGGUGUUCCGGGAAUCCAGCAUCUGGCUCCUGGUUUUGGUCGCAAGACUGCGGUGAAACUACUGAACAAACAUGGUUCAUUAGAAAACCUACUUAAUACAGCUGCAGUUAGAACUGUAGGCAAGGAGUAUGCCCAGGAUGUUUUAGUCAAGCAUGCAGAUUACUUGCGAAAAAACUAUGAAAUUCUCAGUUUGAGGAGGGAUGUAAAUGUUCAGCUUGAUGACAGAUGGUUAUCCACAAGGGACACUUGUAAUGACACCAGUGUGUUAUCUGACUUCAUCACUAAAUUCAACUAAGGACAGAAGCUAAAUAGCGGGUAAAAAGCAAAUAUGACCAAUUUUGUUUCUUCCUCUUAAGCUCUACUUACCAUCAGACCAUCAUCAGUGAAAAAAAGGCUUUCAAUAGUUAGAUGAGGCAGUCUCUUGGCAAGGUUACUUGGUGAUGCCGGCUACAAGACGCAGAGGCGUGGUCCAGGAGCAGUGUAGUACUACUACGUGCAGCGUCACAGUGACGGAGCGACCCAUGGUCUCGCCCGAAGACAGGCACCGGACAUGCUAUCUCAGCUAUUUUGUCACGCUAGUAUAGCAUAUCUUAAGGGAGCCAACACAGAUUGCAGAUCUGAUCUCAUGUAAUGCGAUCCUCGGAUGCUAUCACUCGCUGCUGCUAAUUGGAUACUGUGCUGGUCUCGGUUCGUGGGGCGCUGGCCAAAUCUAGCGCGGCUUUGUUGUGGCAUUGGAUGAUAAAUCUGUGCUCUGGUUUGUUUUUA